rnacentral:rRNA from 1 species
AACGAACGCUGGCGGCAGGCUUAACACAUGCAAGUCGAACGGGUGUAGCAAUACAUCAGUGGCAGACGGGUGAGUAACACGUGGGAACCUUCCUAGGGGUACGGAACAACUCAGGGAAACUUGAGCUAAUACCGUAUACGUACGUGAGGAGAAAGAUUUAUCGCCCUUAGACGGGCCCGCGUCGGAUUAGCUAGUUGGUGGGGUAACGGCCUACCAAGGCGACGAUCCGUAGCUGAUCUUAACGGAUGAUCAGCCACACGGGGACUGAGACACGGCCCAGACUCCUGCGGGAGGCAUCUGUGGGAAUCUUUGACAAUGGGCGCAAGCCUGAUCCAGCCAUGCCGCGUGAGUGAAGAAGGUCUUCGGAUUGUAAAGCUCUUUUGCCAGGGACGAUAAUGACGGUACCUGGAGAAUAAGCCCCGGCAAACUUCGUUCCAGCCGCCGCCGUAA